rnacentral:sRNA from 1 species
GUCGCAGGUUCGAAUCCUGCACGACCCACCAAUCGCUAAGGUGGAACGCGAUUGUAAAACGUGAAGGAUAACGUUGCGUGAGCAACGGCCCGUAGGGCAAGGCAAAGCCGAGUCAUCCUGCACGACCCACCA